UACGUAGGGUGCAAGCGUUGUCCGGAAUUAUUGGGCGUAAAGAGCUCGUAGGCGGUUCGUCGCGUCGGCUGUGAAAACCCGGAGCUCAACUCCGGGCCUGCAGUCGAUACGGGCGGACUUGAGUGUUGCAGGGGGAGACUGGAAUUCCUGGUGUAGCGGUGAAAUGCGCAGAUAUCAGGAGGAACACCGGUGGCGAAGGCGGGUCUCUGGGCCGAUACUGACGCUGAGGAGCGAAAGCAUGGGUAGCGAACAGG
rnacentral:rRNA from 1 species